CCUACGGGUGGCAGCAGGGAGGAAUAUUGGGCAAUGGGCGCGAGCCUGAACCAGCCAAGUAGCGUGAAGGAUGACGGCCCUACGGGUUGUAAACUGCUUUUAUAAAGGAAUAAAGUGAGGCACGUGUGCCUUUUUGCAUGUACCUUAUGAAUAAGGACCGGCUAACUCCGUGCCAGCAGCCGCGGUAAUACGGAGGAGCCGAGCGUUAUCCGGAUUUAUUGGGUUUAAAGGGAGCGUAGAUGGGUUGUUAAGUCAGUUGUGAAAGUUUGCGGCUCAACCGUGGAAUUGCAGUUGAAACUGGCAGUCUUGAGUGCGGUUGAGGUAGGCGGAAUUCGUGGUGUAGCGGUGAAAUGCUUAGAUAUCACGAAGAACUCCGAUUGCGAAGGCAGCUUACUAGACUGCAACUGACGUUGAUGCUCGAAAGUGUGGGUAUCAAACAGGAUUAGAUACCCGAGUAGUC
rnacentral:rRNA from 1 species